rnacentral:rRNA from 1 species
UAACCGAAUAGGGGAGCCGGAGGGAAACCGAGUCUUAAUUGGGCGUUAAGUUGCAGGGUAUAGACCCGAAACCCGGUGAUCUAGCCAUGGGCAGGUUGAAGGUUGGGUAACACUAACUGGAGGACCGAACCGACUAAUGUUGAAAAAUUAGCGGAUGACCUGUGGCUGGGGGUGAAAGGCCAAUCAAACCGGGAGAUAGCUGGUUCUCCCCGAAAGCUAUUUAGGUAGCGCCUCGUGAAUUCAUCUCCGGGGGUAGAGCACUGUUUCGGCUAGGGGGCCAUCCCGGCUUACCAACCCGAUGCAAACUGCGAAUACCGGAGAAUGUUAUCACGGGAGACACACGGCGGGUGCUAACGUCCGUCGUGAAGAGGGAAACAACCCAGACCGCCAGCUAAGGUCCCAAAGUCAUGGUUAAGUGGGAAACGAUGUGGGAAGGCCCAGACAGCCAGGAUGUUGGCUUAGAAGCAGCCAUCAUUUAAAGAAAGCGUAAUAGCUCACUGGUCGAGUCGGCCUGCGCG